rnacentral:rRNA from 1 species
AAAAUCCGGGAUUCUAAGGCCGAGAGCUGAUGACGAGUGUUCUUUUAGAACACGAAGUGGUUGAUGCCAUGCUUCCAAGAAAAGCUUCUAAGCUUCAGGUAACCAGGAACCGUACCCCAAACCGACACAGGUGGUUGGGUAGAGAAUACCGAGGCGCUUGAGAGAACUCGGGUGAAGGAACUAGGCAAAUGGCACCGUAACUUCGGGAGAAGGUGCGCCGGUGAGGGUGAAGCAUUUACUGCGUAAGCCCAUGCCGGUCGAAGAUACCAGGCCGCUGCGACUGUUUAUUAAAAACACAGCACUCUGCAAACACGAAAGUGGACGUAUAGGGUGUGACGCCUCCCCGGUGCCGGAAGGUUAAUUGAUGGGGUUAGCUAACGCGAAGCUCUUGAUCGAAGCCCCGGUAAACGGCGGCCGUAACAAUAACGGUCCUAAGGUAGCGAAAUUCCUUGUCGGGUAAGUUCCGACCUGCACGAAUGGCGUAACGAUGGCGGCGCUGUCUCCACCCGAGACUCAGUGAAAUCGAAAUCGCUGUGAAGAUGCAGUGUAUCCGCGGCUAGACGGAAAGACCCCGUGAACCUUUACUAUAGCUUUGCACUGGACUUUGAAUUUGCUUGUGUAGGAUAGGUGGGAGGCUUUGAAGCGUGGACGCCAGUUCGCGUGGAGCCAACCUUGAAAUACCACCCUGGCAACUUUGAGGUUCUAACUCAGGUCCGUUAUCCGGAUCGAGGACAGUGUAUGGUGGGUAGUUUGACUGGGGCGGUCUCCUCCUAAAGAGUAACGGAGGAGUACGGAGGUGCGCUCAGACCGGUCGGAAAUCGGUCGUAGAGUAUAAAGGCAAAAGCGCGCUUGACUGCGAGACAGACACGUCGAGCAGGUACGAAAGUAGGUCUUAGUGAUCCGGUGGUUCUGUAUGGAAGGGCCAUCGCUCAACGGAUAAAAGGUACUCCGGGGAUAACAGGCUGAUACCGCCCAAGAGUUCAUAUCGACGGCGGUGUUUGGCACCUCGAUGUCGGCUCAUCACAUCCUGGGGCUGAAGCCGGUCCCAAGGGUAUGGCUGUUCGCCAUUUAAAGUGGUACGCGAGCUGGGUUUAGAGCGUCGUGAGACAGUUCGGUCCCUAUCUGCCGUGGACGUUUGAGAUUUGAGAGGGGCUGCUCCUAGUACGAGAGGACCGGAGUGGACGAACCUCUGGUGUUCCGGUUGUCACGCCAGUGGCAUUGCCGGGUAGCUAUGUUCGGAAUAGAUAACCGCUGAAAGCAUCUAAGCGGGAAACUAGCCUCAAGAUGAGAUCUCACUGGGACCUUGAGUCCCCUGAAGGGCCGUCGAAGACUACGACGUUGAUAGGUUGGGUGUGUAAGCGCUGUGAGGCGUUGAGCUAACCAAUACUAAUUGCCCGUGAGGCUUGAGC